GGCGAGAUGGCCGAGUGGUCUAAGGCGCUAGUUUCAGGAGAAGGGUCCCUCGGGAUCUUGAUCAAGCCUACUAGUCAGUAAUGGCGUGGGUUCGAAUCCCACUCUCGUCA
rnacentral:tRNA from 1 species